rnacentral:rRNA from 1 species
GUCUGGUGGGUAGUUUGACUGGGGCGGUCUCCUCCUAAAGAGUAACGGAGGAGCACGAAGGUUGGCUAAUCCUGGUCGGACAUCAGGAGGUUAGUGCAAUGGCAUAAGCCAGCUUGACUGCGAGCGUGACGGCGCGAGCAGGUGCGAAAGCAGGUCAUAGUGAUCCGGUGGUUCUGAAUGGAAGGGCCAUCGCUCAACGGAUAAAAGGUACUCCGGGGAUAACAGGCUGAUACCGCCCAAGAGUUCAUAUCGACGGCGGUGUUUGGCACCUCGAUGUCGGCUCAUCACAUCCUGGGGCUGAAGUAGGUCCCAAGGGUAUGGCUGUUCGCCAUUUAAAGUGGUACGCGAGCUGGGUUUAGAACGUCGUGAGACAGUUCGGUCCCUAUCUGCCGUGGGCGCUGGAGAACUGAGGGGGGCUGCUCCUAGUACGAGAGGACCGGAGUGGACGCAUCACUGGUGUUCGGGUUGUCAUGCCAAUGGCACUGCCCGGUAGCUAAAUGCGGAAGAGAUAAGUGCUGAAAGCAUCUAAGCACGAAACUUGCCCCGAGAUGAGUUCUCCCUGAGACUUUAGGUCUCCUGAAGGAACGUUGAAGACGACGACGUUGAUAGGCCGGGUGUGUAAGCGCAGCGAUGCGUUGAGCUAACCGGUACUAAUGAACCGUGAGGCUUAACCUUACAAC